CGGGGUGUAGCGCAGUUGGUAGCGCGCUUGGUUCGGGACCAAGAGGCCCGGGGUUCAAAUCCCCGCACUCCGA
rnacentral:tRNA from 1 species